rnacentral:rRNA from 1 species
AUUGAACGCUGGCGGCAGGCCUAACACAUGCAAGUCGAGCGGGGUUUUCGGACCUAGCGGCGGACGGGUGAGUAAUGCGUAGGAAGCUACCCGAUAGAGGGGAUACCAGUUGGAACGACUGUUAAUACCGCAUAAUGUCUACGGACCAAAGUGUGGGACCUUCGGGCCACAUGCUAUCGGAUGCGCCUACGUGGGAUUAGCUAGUUGGUAAGGUAACGGCUUACCAAGGCUACGAUGGGUAGGGGGUCCUGAGAGGGAGAUCCCCCCACACUGGUACUGAGACACGGGACCAGACUCCUACGGGAGGCAGCAGUG